CUUUUUCCCGCUCUGAGACAAGAUCAUCUCUAAAGGACCAACAUGAAAACUUCCCUUUCGCCUCCCACGGAUCAUCACUCCUCUGGAUGUGGAGGUUGCACAGACCACACAAUUUGGAGAAGGCCACUCAAAAAUCUCAUGAACUUCAUCAAAAUGCAAAAUCAUUACAAGGAAUUCUCCUUAACUCGUGAACGAGCACAACAUACUAUUUGAACCUGCCCUUCCUCCUCUUUCA